rnacentral:tRNA from 1 species
GCUCAUCGAGGCGCUCGGCGAGUGCGACGCGGCCUUCACCGCCCCCGCCGGCACGGUGACCACCGUGACCAGCCGGUCAUUCGGUUCGAUGAGCACC